CGAGGAGCCUCCCAUUAGAACAAACAGGUAAAACACUGACAGAGAAUACAGGUUUUAACUGCAAACCGACUGAACUGAUUUGAAAAAAAAAAAAAAAAAAAGCUGCAGGGUAUCGACUACUGACUGAGCGCGAAAGUUGCUAAUUUCACUUUACUUAGUCAGACUAAACACUGGAAUUAGGAAGGCAUGAGUUCAUCAUGAUUCUUGUCACUGAUUGGACAGUUCAUAUAUCUAUAGACCAAUCAGGUCAGUGCAAACAUCUAGAUCUUUCGAUUACACUGCACACAGCUUAAACAAGAAGUUAAAAAAAACAAAUUAAG